rnacentral:rRNA from 1 species
AUUGAACGCUAGCGGGAUGCCUUACACAUGCAAGUCGAACGGAGUGGCGAACGGGUGAGUAAUGUAUCGGAACGUGCCCAGUAGCGGGGGAUAACUACGAGAAAGCGUAGCUAAUACAGCAUACUAGUGGAGCUGCCGAUAUCGGAUUAGCUAGUUGGUGUGGUAACGGCUCAGCCAGGCGACGAUCAGUAGCUGGUUUGAGAGGACGAACAGCCACACUGUGACUGAGACACGGCCCAGACUCCUACGUGAGGCAGCAGUGGGGAAUUUUGGACAAUGGGGGAAACCCUGAUCCAGCCAUCCCGCGUGUGUGAUUAAGGCCUUCGGGUUGUAAAGCACUUUUGGCAGGAAAGCGGUACCUGCAGAAUAAGCACCGGCUAACUACGUGCCAGCAGCCGCGGGAAUAC